AGUGAACGCUGGCGGUAGGCCUAACACAUGCAAGUCGAACGGCAGCACAGGAGAGCUUGCUCUCUGGGUGGCGAGUGGCGGACGGGUGAGGAAUACAUCGGAAUCUACUUUUUCGUGGGGGAUAACGUAGGGAAACUUACGCUAAUACCGCAUACGACCUACGGGUGAAAGCAGGGGAUCUUCGGACCUUGCGCGAUUGAAUGAGCCGAUGUCGGAUUAGCUAGUUGGCGGGGUAAAGGCCCACCAAGGCGACGAUCCGUAGCUGGUCUGAGAGGAUGAGCAGCCAAACUGGAACUGAGAAACGGUCCAGACUCCGACGGGAGGCAGCAGUGGGGAAUAUUGGACAAUGGGCGCAAGCCUGAUCCAGCCAUACCGCGUGGGUGAAGAAGGCCUUCGGGUUGUAAAGCCCUUUUGUUGGGAAAGAAAUCCAGCUGGUUAAUACCCGGUUGGGAUGACGGUACCCAAAGAAUAAGCACCGGCUAACUUCGUGCCAGCAGCCGCGGUAA
rnacentral:rRNA from 1 species